CCUCUCCUUUCAUGCCUCUUGCUCCAUCCAAUGCUGUGGACAAACCACACAGUUUCAUAAACCCCAUUGCUCCUCUUUCUUGUCCUUGUCUCUGCACAGGUUAUGCCCUCUACUUGGUGUGUGUCUACUUACUCUUUGGGAGUUCCAGAGACUUUGCUUCUAGGCCCCAAGGAGAGAUGUAUCUAUUUCUCUUACCAAUAGAUUCCUUGGGGAUGGUGCCUGACACACAGUUCUGUUUCUCUGAAGAACCCUAACUAAUACAACUUCUAAGUCCAGUAUUCCUGCCAUUAAGAAAAAGAGAUUUCAAGCAUUAAAACUGAGGAAGCUAUGCAACUUUAUAAGGUAUGUGAAUCAGCAUAAUGUAGUGGAAAGAGCCGUGGCCCAGAUAUCAGGAAUUUAAAUCCUAGUCCUCAGACUAAGGCAACCAGUGUGGCCUUCAAUAGAAACAUUCUUCUGUGGUCAACUUCCUUUUCAUCAUCUCUCACAAGGGAAUUGUGCUCCAGUUCAUUCUGGCUCACUCGUCUUGGAAUUUAUGUGUCAUCAGCUAGAAGUUUCAUGACCCAGUGAAGCUGGCAUCAUGGCAGCACAAACAAAGAAAAAUGAGAAACUGGAGGAGAUGGUUCAUUUUAGGGCCAAGGGUGAUGAGUUCAGGUUUGCACAUUAGGAAAAAGCUAAAGGGCGUGGUAGACAGAAUCAUGGCCCCUUAAAGAUGACCACAACUGAAUCCCCCAAAUCUGUGACUAUGUCGCCUUAUGUGGCAAAAGAAACUUUGUAGAUGUGGUUGAUUUAAGGAUUUUGAGGUGGGGAGAUUAUUCUAAAUUAUAUGGGUGGGUCCUAAAAAAAAUAGAAAGGCAAGUCAGAGUUAGAAAAGGAGAUGCAGAGGCAGAAGCGGAGGUUGGAGUGAAGCGAUGUCCCUCUUUGAAGACGGAAGUGGGGCAGGCUAUAAAACCUAGAAAAGACAGGAAAAUGGAUUUCUCUCCUAGAGUCUCCAGAAGGAACAUAGCUUUGCUGACACUUUAUUUUAUUUUAUUUUAUUUUAUUUUUAUUUUUUGAGACAUCUCACUCUGUCACCCAGGCUGGAGUGUAGUGGUGUGAUCAUUCCUCACUACAGCCUUGAACUCCUGGGCUCAAGAGAUCCUCCCACCUCAGCCUCCCUACUAGAAGGGACUACAGGCAUGUGACACCAUGCCCAGAUAAUUUCUUUAGUUUUUGUAGACACGGGGUCUUGCUGUAUUGCCAGGGUUGGUCUCCAACUUCUGGGUUCACGUGAUCCUUCUGCCUCAGCCUCCCAAAGUGCUGGGAAUAUGGGCGUGAGCCACUGUGCCCAGCCAACACCUUGAUUUUAGCUCCGUAAGACUCCUCUUGGAGUUCUGGUUCUCCAAGACUGUCAGAUGAACUUGUAAUGUUCUGAGCCACCACGUUUUUGGUAAUUCGUUGCAGUAGCCAUAGAAAGCAAAUAGCAGAAGUCACUAGGGAGGGAGGAUGAAUAUUUUUUGAGCCCUUCAUGUGCAUCAGGCAUUGAAGUCCCAAUAAACUGGUGGGGGAAACAGUGUGCUCAUCAUUUCAUGUAUUAGGAAAAUAAACCUAAGAGCGGAAGUAACUUGACCAAAGUGACACAGUCAGGAAUUGAGACUGGGGGCUGUGUGCGUGCUUACGCAUCAUGCAUAUGCUGUGCUGAAAGGCAAAAGCCCGCAAGAUGCCUACACAGCGACAUAAUCACACGAUGCUGGAAAAUCAGGAAAAAAUGUGUAUUGUACAAAUCAAUGGACCAGGGAGUUGGCAAUGUGGAAGACCUUCAAGUGAAUGGCCAGGACCAACUAUGUAUCAGUAGCAGGUGCUUUUUACACAUGCUAUUUCAUGAAACACAAAACACCCUGCAAGGUAAAUUUUAUUCUCCUUAUUUUUAUGGUUGACAAAGGGAGGCUUCAGUUUAGAAAGUACCUUGCCCCAAGUACUACAGCUAGUUAAUGCCAGAGCUAAGAUUUAAAUAUAGAGCCUGCCUCCUGUGAUUAAGAAAAACAAAACAUUUUUUAUUUUAAAAAAGGAAGACCCAGAGAAGGGCAUAAUUUAACCAUCACUUGGAAGUAUAUGACCCCACCACACAGAGGAUCAAAGUUAGCUUCGUGGCAUGAAUAUUUACAUAAUUAUUUGUUCUCCAGGUGUUUAGCACAGUCCUGGGUGUAUUAUAGGCACCUAGUGUAUACUUGUGUAGUGAAAUCUGACAGUGGGAUAGAGGGGCUUCUGUGUAAGGUUAACUAAAAAGGCUAAAACCCUUAAAGUCGAGAUGAUGAAGGCUGAGCUCUGACGGGGCUCAAAUAUAACAAAGUCCAUUCUCCCUUUGAAGCAUUUCAGCAGGAUGAAUUAAUCACCAGUCUCCUUCCUUUCUCCCCUUCCUGACUGCCCAAAGCACAUACCCUACACCAAGCCCUUGGGCCCUUAGCACUUUACUUCACCCUGCUGUUUUGACUGUAGGGUCUCCCACUGCCUCCAGCAUCAAGCCUAACUUUCUAGGGCUCCGUAGCCUUCUCCCUACCUGCAUCUUCCCUCUCUAGCCUCACCCCUUGUCUGUGCAAACCCUUGUCUCUGGUCAGCCCGAUGCCCUGAUAGGAGACCAUGGAAUCCUUGUCUCACAUCUACCCCUCCUCUUACCUACAUCUCUCUCCAGAGCUCCGGCAUUUUGGUGAACUCAUCUUGCACCCCAUAAUGCCUUCUUUAACUCUUUCUGCUCCUCUCCCUAAUUAUUUUGUUACUAUUGCUGGUGCCACUCCAUUUGCACUUAGAAUAAAAUAAAAACUCCUUAGCACAAUUGGAAUGCCUCUUUCUUCCAUCUCAGUCUCCCUUGGAUCCCCUCUCCUUUUUGCCUAUGAUGUCACAUACUGGCCUCAGGUCCAGGAGCUCACAGCUCAGGCCCUGACAUGGGUAUCUUUCUGCAUUUGGACCCUGCCAUCGCCAAAAAUAGUCCCUCCUGUUUCAAUUACAACUUAAAUGUCACUUUAGAGUUGGCUUCCUGAUUCCUCAUGUUUCAGUAGAUCCCAUUUUGUUUAAACCUCUUAGUUUUUAAAAAAUCUUUUAUAAAUGCUGUCUUGUUUUCAUCUUUAUAAUUAUUCAUUUGUAUGUUUGGUUGAUCACUAUCUACCAUUUCCCCUAGAGUCAGCUCCAUAAACAAUGUGUUUUGUUUUCAGUGCCUAGCAUGGUGCCUGACAUGUAGUAGGUGCUUAUAUAUUUGUUCACAAAUGAAUAUCUUAUGUUAAACUCUCUAGUCACUAAUUGUUCUGUAAAUUUGAGCAUCACUUCAUGACUUAUUUAUAAUGCUGUUUUGUUGACUCAUGUUGGUGGGUGUCUAUUUCCUGUCUUCAAUAGGACUGUACAUUGCAGAAAUGAUCUCUUAUAUUUCUUUGCACCAAACGAAGCUAGAUGCAAAGAAUGAAUGAAGUUAGACUUAAUUUGGUGUCUGUCACAUUCUGAAAUACUAUAACCAGGAUAAGUGUCUAAACUUGAAGGAGACACCACAGUGGGGUUUCAUGUUACUUUGGGUCCUGGUAGUAUUGGUUGGGAUCUAAGGUCUGCACUGAGCCUAAGAACUGUGUAUACCUCAAAUUUUCUUUGCAUUGGAGACAUAUCACUUGGCCAAAAGACCAAAUGAGCCAGCAUCAGAUACAAUCUUGUAUCUUUGGUUGAGGACCAGAGAAAAGAUUUGGCUUGAAAUGGGAGGGCAUGUGGGAGGACAAACACAAAUCUUUAAGUCCUAGAAUCCCACUUUGCCUGGGAAGACAAUCAUAUUAGAAACUAAGGAACAGAGGUCUACAGUGUUCUAUUUCCCAUUUCACACUCAACCUGGGGAUAUGUGCUCUAUGCUCAUUCUCGGAAGUAGCCUGUAUGAUUUGAUUUGUUAUUGAUCCUCAUUUCCUUCCUUCCUUCCUUCUUUCCUUCCUUCCUUCCUUCUUUCCUUCCUUCCUUCCUCUCUUUCUUUCGUUCUUUCUCUUUCCCUUCCUUCCUUCCUUCUUUCCUUCUUUCUCUUUCUUUCUCUCUCUCUCUCUUUUUUUUUUUUUUUUUUUGAGACAAGGUUUCACUCUGUUGUCCAGGCUGGAGUGCAGUGGCACAAUCACAGCUCACUGAAGCCUCAACCUCCUGGGCUCAAGUGAUCCUCCCACCUCAGCCCUCCAAGUAGCUGGGACUAUGGGUGCACACCACCAUGCCAGGCUAAUUUUUAAAUUUGUUUUUGCAAAGACAGGGUCUUGCUAUGUUGCCCGGGCUAGUUUCCAGCUCCUGGGUUCAAGAGAUCCUCCCGCCUUGGCCUCCCAAAGUGUUGGGAUUACAGGCAUGAGCCACUGCACCCGGCUAUCCUUAUUUUCUUUUGGUUGGGCAUGAUUAGUUGACUUCACAUACGGUAAGUGUAUGUAUGAUAAAGUUACACUGUACUCUGCUCUUUGGGGAGUUAAUACCUGAAGCUUGUUAUCCUUACUUAGACAAUACAGUGGAUAAAAAUAUAAAGAAGGUCAAGAAGGGUUUAAAUCAAUUCAUGGAUGUCAGAGUUAUAACUAGUUCUUAAGAGACAAAAAAAUUUACAAAAUACUCAGUGAUGUUACUGUUAGAGAAUACAGAUGUUCUUACCCCCCCAUUCCUACUAAUCUCUGUGACACUACAUAUGUGUGCACAUUCCCUAUGACCUCCCCAAAC
ensembl:lncRNA